rnacentral:tRNA from 1 species
AGAGGUAUAGCUCAAGUGGUAGAGUGCUUGCUUAGCAUGCAUGAGGUCCUGGGUUCCAUCCCCAGUACCUCCU